rnacentral:rRNA from 1 species
GCCAGACUCCUACGGGAGGCAGCAGUGGGGAAUAUUGGGCAAUGGGCGCAAGCCUGACCCAGCAACGCCGCGUGAAGGAAGAAGGCUUUCGGGUUGUAAACUUCUUUUGUCAGGGAAGAGUAGAAGACGGUACCUGACGAAUAAGCCACGACUAACUACGUGCCAGCAGCCGCGGUAAUACGUAGGUGGCAAGCGUUGUCCGGAUUUACUGGGUGUAAAGGGCGUGUAGCCGGGUUGACAAGUCAGAUGUGAAAUCCUGCGGCUUAACCGCAGAACUGCAUUUGAAACUGUUGAUCUUGAGUACUGGAGAGGCAGACGGAAUUCCUAGUGUAGCGGUGAAAUGCGUAGAUAUUAGGAGGAACACCAGUGGCGAAGGCGGGCUGCUGGACAGCAACUGACGGUGAGGCGCGAAAGCGUGGGGAGCAAACAGGAUUAGAUACCCUUGUACU